rnacentral:rRNA from 1 species
UACGAAGGGGGCUAGCGUUGCUCGGAAUCACUGGGCGUAAAGGCUGCACGGUGGGCGUCUAUUAAGGGUAGGGUCGAAGUCUGAGCUCAACUCCAGAACUGCCUUUGAUACUGGCGAGCUUGAGUUCGGGAGAGGUGAGUGGAACUGCGAGUGUAGAGGUGAAAUUCGUAGAUAUUCGCAAGAACACCAGUGGCGAAGGCGGCUCACUGGCCCGAUACUGACGCUGAG